rnacentral:rRNA from 1 species
UACGGAGGGUGCAAGCGUUGUCCGGAUUUAUUGGGUUUAAAGGGUGCGUAGGCGGCAGAUUAAGUCAGCGGUGAAAUUCCACAGCUCAACUGUGGAACUGCCAUUGAUACUGGUUUGCUUGAGUACAGAUGAGGUAGGCGGAAUUGACAGUGUAGCGGUGAAAUGCUUAGAUAUUGUCAAGAACACCUAUUGCGAAGGCAGCUUACUAGCUGUAACUGACGCUGAGGCACGAAAGCGUGGGGAUCAAACAGG